AACGAACGCUGGCGGCAUGCCUAACACAUGCAAGUCGAACGAGACCUUCGGGUCUAGUGGCGCCCGGGUGCGUAACGCGUGGGAACCUGCCCUUAGGUUCGGAAUAACUCCCCGAAAGGGGUGCUAAUACCGGAUAAUGUCUUCGGACCAAAGAUUUAUCGCCUUUGGAUGGGCCCGCGUUGGAUUAGCUAGUUGGUAGGGUAAAAGCCUACCAAGGCGACGAUCCAUAGCUGGUCUGAGAGGAUGAUCAGCCACUCUGGGACUGAGACACGGCCCAGACUCCUCCGCGAGGCAGCAGUGGGGAAUAUUGGACCAUGGGCGAAAGCCUGAUCCAGCACUGCCGCGUGAGUGAUGAAGGCCUUAGGGUUGUAAAGCUCUUUUACCCGGGAUGAUAAUGACAGUACCGGGAGAAUAAGCUCCGGCUAACUCCGUG
rnacentral:rRNA from 1 species